rnacentral:rRNA from 1 species
GAUGAACGCUAGCGGCAGGCUUAAUACAUGCAAGUCGAGGGGCAGCAUGAUUGUAGCAAUACAAUUGAUGGCGACCGGCAAACGGGUGCGGAACACGUACACAACCUUCCAACAAGUGGGGGAUAGCCCAGAGAAAUUUGGAUUAAUACUCCGUAACAUAGCGAUGUGGCAUCCCAUUGCUAUCAUAGAUUUUUCGCUUGUUGAUGGGUGUGCGGCUGAUUAGAUAGUUGGCGGGGUAACGGCCCACCAAGUCUACGAUCAGUAGCUGAUGUGAGAGCAUGAUCAGCCACACGGGCACUGAGACACGGGCCCGACUCCUACGGGAGGCAGCAGUAAGGAAUAUUGGACAAUGGACGCAAGUCUGAUCCAGCCAUGCCGCGUGAAGGAUUAAGGUCCUCUGGAUUGUAAACUUCUUUUAUAAGGGACGAAAAAAGGCUUUUCUAAGUCGUCUGACGGUACCUUAUGAAUAAGCACCGGCUAACUCCGUGCCAGCAGCCGCUGUAAUAC